rnacentral:rRNA from 1 species
GUGGGGAAUAUUGGACAAUGGGCGAAAGCCUGAUCCAGCCAUGCCGCGUGAGUGAUGAAGGCCUUAGGGUUGUAAAGCUCUUUCAGUAGGGAAGAUAAUGACGGUACCUACAGAAGAAGCCCCGGCUAACUUCGUGCCAGCAGCCGCGGUAAUACGAAGGGGGCUAGCGUUGUUCGGAUUUACUGGGCGUAAAGCGCACGUAGGCGGAUUGGUCAGUUAGAGGUGAAAUCCUGGAGCUCAACUCCAGAACUGCCUUUAAUACUGCCAGUCUAGAGUCCAGAAGAGGUGAGUGGAACUCCUAGUGUAGAGGUGGAAUUCGUAGAUAUUAGGAAGAACACCAGUGGCGAAGGCGGCUCACUGGUCUGGUACUGACGCUGAGGUGCGAAAGCGUGGGGAGCAAACAGGAUUAGAAACCCCUGUAGUCC